CACGUUUCCCUGGCUCCAGCAGGACCGUGACAAUAUAUAUGUAAUCUGACAUAAUUGUUUUUGUUUUUUUACAGAAAUUCUGAGCUGCUGCAUGAACAUUCAUCAAACAUAUAAGGCUGCAAUUUGGAAAAAACUUUCAAGCUAAUGCUGCUGAAAUGGAGGUCAAGGGGACGAUGAAGAGGUGGCUCCAGCUGGCAGAUCAAAAGGGUGGACUUCAGCAGGCAGACACACUCUGUUACAGUAAUCAGCUGAUCCAGCCGUAUCCAGACCAGACGGUGGACCUGCACCCAGGAAUGACUACAACACAUCCCUGAAUGUCAGCGGAGACCAUGUCAGCUAGAUCCCUGUGAAGACCUCAUUGAUGGCCCCAGCACAGAUCAUCAGCAAAGACUACGAGAACCAGACAAGCCCUCUGCACAGACCCUUUUUACCAGCUUCACCUGCUGUCGUGAUGUUUCUUCAUGCAGAAGAAGUUGGAUGAAAUAUUUUGAAGGAUAUCAAUCCACAACCUGACUUGUGACGCAGCCUGGAAUAAUCACACCACGUUCAAUCGUUUAGCCAGAGGAGACUGUUUCCUGACUGAGCUGGGUCUUGUUUGGGUUCCUUGUCACUGUUGCCUUUUGUCUUGCUUGGUUGAAGACACCUAAUAUUCAGCAAUAUUAUUGACUUGACUGCACUGACACCAUUUUGAUAAGAACUGAAUUAUGACACAUAAUGUUUUAUAUAUGAAGAGUUUAUUUGCAAAAACAGAACUCAGUUUUUAAAUAUUUUUAAAAAUCAUGUUUUUUGUUAUCGUGUUUUUGUUUUGUGUUAGUUAGCUAGUAUUUAUUAGUUAUUCUCUACCUAAUCAAAAUAACCCAAAUGCAGUUUAAAUGAGAUUAAUUGGAAUGCACAAUGAAAAAACAUUAUCUGUAUAAGUUAUCUGUUUCUGCAAAUUAACUCUUCAUAUAUAUAUAUAUCAGUAAAUAUAAUUUACUUGUUACUUUGUGGUUUAAAAAGUGUUAAUGUUUAUACUGUAGUGCAUUUGUUCAUAUACCGUAUUGUCCCGAAUAUAAGACGACCCUGAUUAUAAGACGACCCCCCCCCCCCUUUUUUUCCAGAUGUACCUGUUGGAAAAAGGCUUUUUGAAUUCUAUAACAAUUAGGCUAUCCAACUCGUAGUAGCCUACCAAAAUGUUAUUAUCAGUAGACGUGAAAUCUUAUUGUAGUCUUCAAAUCUGGGUACUGUCUUACGUUUUAAAAUCACUUACAGAGGAAGUUUGUUCCCAUCAGGCUAACAUGACAGUCACGAUCAUGCUGCUGUAAGCUUUUCUUUUUCAUUUGUUUUCAUUCGCGAUCUUUACAACACACAUUACAUUACAUA